CCUACGGGAGGCUGCAGUGGGGGAUAUUGCACAAUGAGGGGAACCCUGAUGCAGCGACGCCGCGUGGGUGAAGGAGCGUUUCGGCGCGUAAAGCCCUAUCGGCAGGGAAGAAGGAUGACGGUACCUGACUAAGAAGCCCCGGCUAACUACGUGCCAGCAGCCGCGGUAAAACGUAGGGGGGAAGCGUUAUCCGGAUUUACUGGGUGGAAAGGGGGCGCAGACGGCAGGGCAAGCCAGGAGGGAAAGCCCGGGGCCCAACCCCGGGACUGCCCUUGGAACUGGGCGGCUGGAGUGCAGGAGGGGCAGGCGGAAUUCCUGGUGUAGCGGUGAAAUGCGUAGAUAUCAGGAGGAACACCGGUGGCGAAGGCGGCCUGCUGGACUGCGACUGACGUUGAGGCCCGAAAGCGUGGGGAGCAAACAGGAUUAGAUACCCUUGUAGUC
rnacentral:rRNA from 1 species